ACGAGGUCUUUAACAUACACCAAUAUCGUCAACGAGCAUUUUGUCUAACCCGACAGGACCCAAGGAUGAUUUGACGACAUUCGCAAUUGCGGUCGUUGCCAAAACUAAAAUGUUAAAAGUUAUGAAAAGAAAAUUAACAUACCAUUUUGGUUUCGUACGUCCUCUCCACUGAUUUUUUCACCACUCAAAACUACAACAUGUUAAUAAUUUACC